rnacentral:rRNA from 1 species
UUUACCAAAAACAUCACCUCUAGCAUUCUAAGUAUUAGAGGCACUGCCUGCCCAGUGACAUCUGUUCAACGGCCGCGGUAUCCUGACCGUGCAAAGGUAGCAUAAUCACUUGUUCCCUAAAUAGGGACUUGUAUGAAUGGCCACACGAGGGUUUUACUGUCUCUUACUUCCAAUCAGUGAAAUUGACCUUCCCGUGAAGAGGCGGGAAUAAUUAAACAAGACGAGAAGACCCUAUGGAGCUUUAAUUAACUGACCCAAUAAAGAUACAUUAUCUCCCACCCGGGACCCAACUCCCCUUUAUAUGAGUCAACAAUUUAGGUUGGGGUGACCUCGGAGCACAAAAAAACCUCCGAGUGAUUUAAGUCUAGACUAACCAGUCAAAACGCAACAUCACUUAUUGAUCCAAAAUUUGAUCAACGGAACAAGUUACCCUAGGGAUAACAGCGCAAUCCUAUUCAAGAGUUCAUAUCGACAAUUAGGGUUUACGACCUCGAUGUUGGAUCAGGACAUCCCAAUGGUGCAACAGCUAU